ensembl:lncRNA
AUGUCUCAGGCAAGCAAAGACACUGAGAGUGCAUUAGCUGGUUUAGAGCAAGAGGUAGACCAGUCAGAUGUUCCUCAACCAACAACAAUAUCUAAAGAGCCUCGAAGGAGUGAAAGAGCUCGAACAUUAACUGAAAAGGGAAAAGAACUUCAGAAGGAAAAGCUAGAAGUUCUUCUGCUACGCUUUGACAGUAUUUAUGAAAGAUGGAGAGCUCUGACCAAGGUUGCUAAGAAAUCUGAAAUGAGUCAAGAUCCCAGUGAAAUUCUACAGGAACACAUUAGCAGCGUUCAGAAAGAGGCAUCAGAGCUGAACAAUAUUUAUGAUGACUACAGAAGAAUUGAUAGUCCAGCUCAUGACAUGCGUCGUAAGAUGGACAACUGUACAUCAAUUACUGAAGUAGUGGUUCAGAACGCUCAGUUGCAAAUUCAAGGAAGAGAAGAGCAGAUUAUUUGGCCUAAUGCAAAGUCAGUAUUUGCAUCUUCCAUUUCCAGUGUUUCACCACCUGCUUCAAGUCGUUCUAAGAUUAAUUCUUUGCGCUCUGAUACAUCUUCAGUCAAAAGACAAGAAGCUGCUGCUGAGUAUGCAGCCACACAAGCUGUCUUAAAGAUUAUGGCUGAGCAAGAGUCAUAUCAAGAAAAACUACAAAAGCUUGAGGUUGAAGAGAAGUUGAUCAUUGCAGAACAAGAAGCAGCUGCAUUAGCUUGUCAUCUGCAAGCGGAAAAGGAAGAAACAGAGCGUAGAAUAGAAAGGGAGAAACGAAAAUCCGCUCUCCAAAGGAAACAACAAGAGGAGAACGCCGCAAGAAGGAGGUCAGUAGAAAACUUAAAAAGAGAACUUGAGCGUUUGGAGGAAUUGAAAAGGCUGAAUGCAGCCAAGGCAAAACUUCAGGUUUAUGAUGAACACGAGAAUGAUCAGGUUAAGGGUUUUGCAGCAAAUAGCGCAGAACUUCCUAUUGUCAUGCAGACUGUCAGUCAGAUUAAGCAAGAACCACAACCACCAAGAGUUGUGUUCUCUAAUAGUAGUCCAACACAAAAUGAAACAGGAGCACUUGUGAAGGUUUUGGCUGAGGCUAUGUCAGCAAACAGGCUCCCCAUUCCAGAACCUACCGUCUUUUGUGGAGAUCCACUUAGGUUUGUUCAUUGGAAGGCAUCUUUCAAGACUCUGAUUGAGCAGAAAAACAUUCCAACCUCAGAGAAGAUCUUCUUCCUUCAGAGAUAUGUUGGAGGAGCAGCACGAGAGGCUUUGGAAGGUUACUUUCUAAUUGGUUCAGAAGAGUCAUAUGAAGCAGCUUGGAAGUUGCUCAGUGAACGAUAUGGACAUCCAUUUGUAAUUGCAAAGGCUUUCAGAGACAAAUUAUAUUCCUGGCCAAAGGUAGCUGCAAAGGAAAGUGCUGAGUUUAGGAAAUUUGUGGACUUCUUGCGCAGUUGUGAAUGUGCUAUGGCUCACAAUGAAAGUCUAAAUGUCCUUGAUGAUGGACUUGAGAACCAGAAGCUGGCAGCUAAAUUACCCGACUGGUUAAGCACCAGAUGGAACAGAAAGGCCACAGAAUAUCAACUGGAGCAUGGGAGAUUCCCGAAGUUCAGUUAUUUUGUGACAUUCCUUUCAUUAGAGGCCAGUAUUGCUUGCAAUCCUAUUACAUCUUAUCAAGCAUUACGGCAGACUGAAUCUGAUAAGGUGAGGAUUAAAAAUCAGACAUUAGUAACUCCUAAAACCCAGACCAUAGGUUCCAAAAUAUUCACAACCAAUACCAGUGAGAGAAACAGAGUCACCUGUCUGUUCUGUGAGAAAGUAGGGCAUGGUGUACAAAAGUGUUUCAAAUUACUGGACAAGGCAGUUGCUGACAGAGUCAAAUUCAUUCGAAGUGAAAAUCUAUGCUUCGGCUGUUUGAGCAUUGGCCAUCAGUCUAAGAAAUGUACCAAUCGGAUGGUCUGUGAAGUCUGCUCAAAACGUCACCCCACGUGUUUACACGAAGAUCGCUCAAACCGUGAACAAGGAGCAAAGAGAGAACAAUUCAAAGGAAGAGUUAGCACUAAAGAAUCAGCACAACCAAGUGUCAGUAACGAAAGCACGUCCAACAGAGUUGUACAAGAUGGUAAAAGUGUACAGACUUCAGCCAUAGUCCCGGUGUAUGUGUCUUCACCAAAGGAUCCAAACAAGGAAGUUCUUGUUUAUGCUCUGUUAGAUUCACAGUGA